AUUGAACGCUGGCGGCAGGCCUAACACAUGCAAGUCGAGCGAGCGGCGGACGGGUGAGUAAUGUAUGGGGACUGCCCGAUAGAGGGGGAUAACUACUGGAAAAGGUGGCUAAUACCGCAUACUAGUGGGUAACCCAUAUGGGAUUAGGUAGUAGGUGGGGUAAAGGCUCACCUAGGCGACGAUCUCUAGCUGGUCUGAGAGGAUGACCAGCCAAACUGGGACUGAGACACGGCCCAGACUCCUACGGAGGCAGCAGUGGGGAAUAUUGCACAAUGGGCGAAAGCCUGAUGCAGCCAUGCCGCGUGUAUGAAGAAGGCCUUAGGGUUUUAAAGUACUUUCAGUGGGGAGGCGUUACCCGCAGAAGAAGCACCGGCUAACGCCGUGCCAGCAGCCGCGGUAAUUC
rnacentral:rRNA from 1 species